CCUACGGGUGGCAGCAGUGGGGAAUAUUGCACAAUGGGGGGAACCCUGAUGCAGCGACGCCGCGUGAGUGAAGAAGUAUUUCGGUAUGUAAAGCUCUAUCAGCAGGGAAGAAGAUGACGGUACCUGACUAAGAAGCCUCGGCUAACUACGUGCCAGCAGCCGCGGUAAUACGUAGGGGGCAAGCGUUAUCCGGAUUUACUGGGUGUAAAGGGAGCGUAGACGGCAGGGCAAGUCUGGAGUGAAAGCCCGGGGCCCAACCCCGGGACUGCUUUGGAAACUGCCGUGCUAGAGUGCUGGAGAGGUAAGCGGAAUUCCUGGUGUAGCGGUGAAAUGCGGAGAUAUUAGGAAGAACACCAGUGGCGAAGGCGGCUUACUGGACAGUAACUGACGUUGAGGCUCGAAAGCGUGGGGAGCAAACAGGAUUAGAUACCCUAGUAGUC
rnacentral:rRNA from 1 species